rnacentral:misc_RNA from 1 species
CUUUGCUAGAUCCGCCCCUGCAGUCCUCAUACUAUAUAUAAACUUCCUUCAAGAAACAGAAAUUUAAGAAAUCAAAAGAUGAAAAUAGAAAGAAAACAGAGUGUAGUACUGGUGCCACACCCAUACCAGGGGCAUUUAACACCAAUGCUACAGCUUGGUAGUAUCCUUCAUUCACAAGGCUUUUCUGUUAUAGUUGCACAUACUCAAUACAAUACUCCUAAUUAUUCCAAUCAUCCACAAUUCGUCUUCCAUUCUAUGGAUGACGGAUUACAGGGAAUCGACAUGUCAUUCCCGAGUUUAGAAAACAUAUAUGAUAUGAACGAAAACUGCAAGGCGCCUCUCAGAAACUACCUUGUUAGUAUGAUGGAAGAGGAAGGUGAUCAGCUUGCUUGUAUCGUUUAUGACAACGUCAUGUUCUUUGUCGAUGAUGUAGCGACUCAGUUGAAGCUUCCCAGCAUUGUCCUGCGCACUUUCAGCGCUGCGUAUUUGCACUCUAUGAUCACCAUUUUACAGCAACCUGAAAUAUAUUUACCUUUUGAAGAUUCUCAGCUGCUGGAUCCGUUACCGGAGCUUCAUCCCUUGAGAUUUAAGGAUGUACCGUUUCCUAUCAUCAAUAAUACAGUUCCAGAACCGAUACUAGACUUCUGUAGAGCAAUGAGUGAUAUAGGAUCAUCUGUCGCGACUAUAUGGAACACGAUGCAAGACUUGGAGAGUUCAAUGUUGUUACGCCUUCAAGAACAUUACAAGGUGCCCUUUUUUCCAAUAGGCCCGGUACACAAAAUGGCAUCUUUGGUCUCAUCGACUAGCAUACUAGAAGAAGACAAUAGCUGCAUCGAGUGGCUCGAUAGACAAGCCCCUAACUCUGUUCUCUAUGUCAGCUUGGGUAGCCUAGUGAGGAUUGAUCACAAAGAGUUGAUUGAGACUGCUUGGGGAUUAGCUAAUAGCGAUCAACCGUUCUUGUGGGUUAUUCGACCUGGCUCUGUCUCUGGCUUUCAAUGUGCUGAGGCACUGCCUGAUGGUUUUGAGAAAAUGGUAGGAGAAAGAGGACGAAUAGUGAAAUGGGCACCACAAAAACAGGUGCUUGCACAUCCCGCGGUAGCAGGGUUUUUCACUCAUUGUGGUUGGAAUUCUACGCUUGAAAGUAUAUGUGAAGAAGUCCCUAUGGUGUGCAGGCCAUUUCUAGCAGACCAACUGGUGAACGCAAGGUAUCUGAGCCAAAUAUACAAGGUUGGGUUCGAAUUGGAGGUUAUCGAGAGAACGG